rnacentral:rRNA from 1 species
AGAGUUUGAUCCUAGCUCAGGGUGAACGCUGGUGGUGUGGAUAAGGCAUGCAAGUCAAGGGGCUCCUUCGGGAGCACCGGCAAACGGGUUAGUAACACGUAGGUAACAUGCCCCGUUCAUGGAAAUAACCCUGAGAAAUCAGGGCUAAUGUCCGAUAGUCUUGAUUGGCCAAAUGGCUGAUCAAGUAAAGGCUUCGGCCGGAACGGGAUUGGCCUGCGUUCUAUCAGCUAGUUGGUGGGGUAACGGCUCACCAAGGCUAUGACGGAUAGGGGGCAUGAGAGUGUGUUCCCCAACAAAAGCACUGAGAUACGGGCUUUACUCCUACGGGAGGCAGCAGUCGAGAAUCUUCGGCAAUGGGCGAAAGCCUGACCGAGCGACACCACGUGACUGAAGAAGCUCUGCGGAGUGUAAAGGUCUUUUCACCGGGAAGAAUCUUCGGAUGACGGUACCGGUGGAAUAAAGGGGGCCUAAUUCUGUGCCAGCAGGCGCGGUAAUUCAGAACCCCUGAGCGUUACCCGGAUUUAUUGGGCGUAAAGCGUCUGUAGGCGGCCAGGAAAGUUUUUGGUUAAAAACCGAGGGCUCAACCUUCGGAGUGCCAAAAAUACUACUUGGCUAGAGGCUGUCAGAGGCCAGUGGAACUGAUGGUGGAGGGGUGAAAUCCGUCGAUAUCAUCAGGAACGCCAAAGGCGAAGGCAACUGGCUGGGGCAGUCCUGACGCUCAGAGACGAAAGCGUGGGUAGCAAAAAGGAUUAGAUACGUAAUUUUCAACCGAGGGUUAUCCUUUAUCCCGAUGAAGUUGAAAGCCUCAAAUUAUUUUGAGGUCGUCAAGGUGUCCCCCUUAGCGGCAACGCUGAGGUGAGCAUCUAGCUGUAUCGGGGAACUCCGUCUUUGACGGACAAUCCCGAGGGAAGUCAUUUCGCUACUAGGCGAAAUUGACCCCGUAGAGACUAUGUAAGUAAGAAGAUAGAAGAUGAACAAUUCAUCUUUGUCGUCUCAAUGGCGAGAAGUUGUACUAGGUUCUAUUUUAGGAGAUGGUUCUCUUAAGGUGCAAAAGGGUGAUCAUAAUGCUCGAUUUUCCUUUAAGCACUCUAUUCAUCAGGAAGAAUAUUUCCUUUGGAAGGCAAGCCUGCUAAAAGACAUUUCUUCCGAUAAGUGUCAUUGGCAUCAGAAAAA